UACGAAGGGUGCAAGCGUUACUCGGAAUUACUGGGCGUAAAGCGUGCGCAGGCGGUUCGUUAAGUCAGCUGUGAAAGCCCCGGGCUCAACCUGGGAAUUGCGGUUGAAACUGGCGAACUAGAAUCUGGCAGAGGGGGGUGGAAUUCCACGUGUAGCAGUGAAAUGCGUAGAGAUGUGGAGGAACACCGAUGGCGAAGGCAGCCCCCUGGGCUGAGAUUGACGCUCAGGCACGAAAGCGUGGGGAGCAAACAGG
rnacentral:rRNA from 1 species